rnacentral:rRNA from 1 species
UGCCUACAACCGGUCAAAGCCCCUUAUGAGGGUGAUGACGUGCUUUUUGUAGAACGAGCCAACGAGUUACGGUAUGUAGCAAGGUUAAGUACUUAAGGUACGGAGCCGAAGGGAAACCGAGUCUUAAUAGGGCGACUAGUUGCAUGCCGUAGACCCGAAACCGGGUGACCUAUCCAUGGCCAGGUUGAAGCGAGGGUAAAACCUCGUGGAGGACCGAACCACGUUGCUGUUGAAAAAGCAUGGGAUGAGCUGUGGAUAGCGGAGAAAUUCCAAUCGAACUCGGAGAUAGCUGGUUCUCCUCGAAAUAGCUUUAGGGCUAGCGUCGAAUAUGAGUAGUGGAGGUAGAGCACUGAAUGGGCUAGGGGGCAUAGCGCUUACCGAACCUUAUCAAACUCCGAAUGCCACAUACUUUUAGUUCGGCAGUCAGACUACGAAAGAUAAGUUCCGUGGUCAAAAGGGAAACAGCCCAGAUCGUCAGCUAAGGUCCCAAAGUGUAAGUUAAGUGGAAAAGGAUGUGGGAUUUCUAAGACAACUAGGAUGUUGGCUUAGAAGCAGCCACUCAUUUAAAGAGUGCGUAAUAGCUCACUAGUCGAGAGAUCCUGCGCCGAAAAUGUCCGGGGCUCAAACUUACCACCGAAGCUACGGGUUCACACUUAGUGUGAGCGGUAGAGGAGCGUCGUAAUCGGGCUGAAGUCGUACCGUAAGGAGCGGUGGACUGAUUACGAGUGAGAAUGUUGGCAUUAGUAGCGAGAUGUGGGUGAGAAUCCCACAGGCCGAAUAUCUAAGGUUUCCUCAGGAAGGUUCGUCCGCUGAGGGUUAGUCGGGACCUAAGCUGAGGCCGAAAGGCGUAGGCGAUGGACAAUCGGUUGAUAUUCCGAUACCACUAUUAUCGUUAUUAUCGAUGGUGUGACGGAGAAGGAUAGGAUGUGCUAACUAUUGGAUGUUAGUCUAAGCGUUUAGGGAGUUAGGAUAGGCAAAUCCGUUCUAACAAUUCUGAGGCGUGAUGGGGAAGGUUCCACGGAACCGAAGUAUCUGAUUCCAUGCUUCCAAGAAAAGCAUCUAGAGAGAGAAGUAGUGCCCGUACCGCAAACCGACACAGGUAGAUGAGGAGAGAAUCCUAAGGCCGGCGGAAGAAUCACAGUUAAGGAACUAGGCAAAUUGACCCCGUAACUUCGGGAGAAGGGGUGCCUGCGAGAGCAGGCCGCAGAGAAUAGGCCCAAGCAACUGUUUAGCAAAAACACAGGUCUCUGCUAAAGCGUAAGCUGAUGUAUAGGGGCUGACGCCUGCCCGGUGCUGGAAGGUUAAGGGGAACACUUAGCGCAAGCGAAGGUGUGAACUUAAGCCCCAGUAAACGGCGGCCGUAACUAUAACGGUCCUAAGGUAGCGAAAUUCCUUGUCAGGUAAGUUCUGACCCGCACGAAUGGCGUAAUGACUUGGGCACUGUCUCAACUGCAAAUCCGGCGAAGUUGUAGUGCGAGUGAAGAUGCUCGCUACCCGCGAUUGGACGGAAAGACCCCGUAGAGCUUUACUGUAGCUUAGCAUUGAAUUCCGGUAUUGU